UCGAUUUGGAGUUUGUUGCCUAGAGUGAUGGGCUCCGAAGCUAACGCGAUAAAUCGACCGCCUGGGGAGUACGGCCGCAAGGUUAAAACUCAAAUGAAUUGACGGGGGCCCGCACAAGCGGUGGAGCAUGUGGUUUAAUUCGAUGCAACGCGAAGAACCUUACCUGGUCUUGACAUCCACAGAAUCUUUCAGAGAUGAGGGAGUGCCUUCGGGAACUGUGAGACAGGUGCUGCAUGGCUGUCGUCAGCUCGUGUUGUGAAAUGUUGGGUUAAGUCCCGCAACGAGCGCAACCCUUAUCCUUUGUUGCCAGCGAUUAGGUCGGGAACUCAAAGGAGACUGCCGUUGAUAAAACGGAGGAAGGUGGGGACGACGUCAAGUCAUCAUGGCCCUUGCGACCAGGGCUACACACGUGCUACAAUGGCGUAUACAAAGGGAAGCGAAGGUGCGAGCUGGAGCGGACCUCCUAAAGUACGUCUAAGUCCGGAUUGGAGUCUGCAACUCGACUCCAUGAAGUCGGAAUCGCUAGUAAUCGUGAAUCAGAAUGUCACGGUGAAUACGUUCCCGGGCCU
rnacentral:rRNA from 1 species